AGCAGCCGCGGUAAUUCCAGCUCCAAUAGCGUAUAUUAAAGUUGUUGCAGUUAAAAAAGCUCGUAGUUGAAUUUCGGGGUCAGUAGGUUGGUCGUGCCACUGGUAUGUACUGGUCUCACUGAUUCCUCCUUCCUGAUGAGCUGUAAUGCCAUUAAUUUGGUGUUGCAGGGAAUCUGGACUGUUACUUUGAAAAAAUUAGAGUGUUUAAAGCAGGCUAACGCUUGAAUACAUUAGCAUGGAAUAAUGAAAUAGGACGUUCGAUCCUAUUUUGUUGGUUUCUAGGAUUGACGUAAUGAUUAAUAGGGAUAAGUUGGGGGCAUUAGUAUUCAAUUGUCAGAGGUGAAAU
rnacentral:rRNA from 1 species